GGCCGUUCGUCUGUUUGCGCUUUCGUGAUGUCCGGUCGUGGCAAGCAAGGAGGCAAGGCCCGCGCCAAGGCCAAGUCGCGGUCUUCCCGGGCCGGGCUACAGUUCCCGGUGGGGCGUGUGCACCGGCUGCUGCGCAAGGGCAACUACGCGGAGCGUGUGGGUGCCGGCGCGCCGGUAUACAUGGCGGCGGUGCUGGAGUACCUAACGGCCGAGAUCCUGGAGCUGGCGGGCAACGCGGCCCGCGACAACAAGAAGACGCGCAUCAUCCCGCGCCACCUGCAGCUGGCCAUCCGCAACGACGAGGAGCUCAACAAGCUGCUGGGCAAAGUGACGAUCGCGCAGGGCGGCGUCCUGCCCAACAUCCAGGCCGUGCUGCUGCCCAAGAAGACGGAGAGCCACCAUAAGGCGAAGGGCAAGUGAGGCCACUGCUCGCGUCGGCCCGCGUCUCUGUGAUAUAACCCCCGCGAGCUCCUAAAAAGGCUCUUUUCAGAGCCACCCACUGAAUCAGAUAAAGAGUUGUGUCACGGUAGCCGGUCUUGGUGGCCUUUCCUGGCCCUGCCCCAAAAGUAAGAGUGUCGUGUCCUCUGCUUCCUUGCCCAUCCUGCCCGUGGUUCCCCCUGGUAGUUUGUUGUCGCUCUUUGGUUCAUGCCCUGCCUCGGCGGAGCGGAUACGCGGUUCUCGCUGACCGUCCCAAGCAUUUAGCCCCUAUCUGCCCACACCCUUGUCCUACACAACACUGUCCCUCACUCAGCGUCCACCCGCCUGACCCUUCCCAGGACUAAGACUCAACUAGGACGUCUAGGCCAAUCUAGACAUAAGUCGCAGUCAGCCGCGCUCUCGUCCGGUCCUUGGGGAAUGUCUAGGAGGAGGAGGUGUCCCGCGAGGACUGGACGCGGCCGGCUCUAGGGAUCAUGGGGGACUGGGGCUGGGACUGUGGCUGUGGCUGGGCGGUGCUGCACAAACACUAGAUUAGUUCUGCCCUGGGACUUUGGGCGGCGGGCGGGGGCGCGCGAGCUCCUCUUGGGCAGAGCCGGGACCCGCCCUCUACGGGCAGCUGCCAGACGUGGCUCCACCCUCGCAGAACGUUGGCAAGUGGACCGGGCGCGGGGCUGGACGUGGGGGGCGGGGGGGGGCGGGUCAGGUGGCGUGGCGGGCCCGAGCCAAUGGGCGAGGUCGGGGCCGGUGACGCCACGGCCAAUGGCGCGGCAGCGCGGGAGUUUCAAGUCGCUGUCUCCGCCCCGCCGCGGGGAAGACUGCGCCUAUAAAGGCGGCCGGCUCGGGCCGGUAUCAGGUCCCCGAGUGCUCCUCGUUUGGGUGUCUUCCGUCUUCGCCAUGGCCCGUACGAAGCAGACUGCCCGCAAGUCCACCGGCGGCAAGGCCCCGCGCAAGCAGCUGGCCACCAAGGCCGCCCGCAAGAGCGCCCCGGCCACGGGCGGCGUGAAGAAGCCGCACCGCUACCGGCCCGGCACCGUGGCGCUGCGGGAGAUCCGGCGCUACCAGAAGUCGACCGAGCUGCUGAUCCGCAAGCUGCCGUUCCAGCGCCUGGUGCGCGAGAUCGCGCAGGACUUCAAGACGGACCUGCGCUUCCAGAGCUCGGCCGUCAUGGCGCUGCAGGAGGCGAGCGAGGCCUACCUGGUGGGGCUGUUCGAGGACACCAACCUGUGCGCCAUCCACGCCAAACGCGUCACCAUCAUGCCCAAGGACAUCCAGUUGGCCCGCCGCAUCCGUGGGGAGCGCGCUUAAGCGCCCUGUCUCCCAUCCAUUCCCCACAAAGGCUCUUUUCAGAGCCACCACAGCUUCCCGGAAAGAGCUAUUCAGCUUUUUGUCUUAAAUUGCCUUUGCAUUCUUCUAGGUUUCUGCAGUGGCUGGUGCUUACUGUCCACCGAGCCUCUUUUAAUAGUUGCCUAUAGUCGCUUAAGAAUGUGCUAAUUUCGGGGGCAAUUGCGAGCGCAGUGACUAAAAUAUCUUAUCCAGGUGCUCAACCUCUGCAUUCCUCUUCUAACAUCAGUCUUAAUUCGUUUUUCUUUUAUCUUUUUCGUUCCCUUCUAAUGUAAUUUGACAUGAUAGAGCUUUUUCUUUUUUUAAAAUGAGCACCUGGCUCAUUGAAGCCAAGUGUCAGGCCUUGCAAGGCUACUUAUAUUGCCCUUUACAAAUUAGUAUACUUUAUUGCUAACAUGCGUUGCUUUUCUAUGUUUUUGGAGUAGAUGUUUACAGCCACCUUCCAAUGUUUUGAUAGUUUACUUGGGAGAUCCUCGUGUUCAUUACAUUACAGGUUUUAAGUUUUAGCAUUGAGUAUCUUAUCUGCCUGCUAUCAGGUGAGUUACUCCAUUCAAAUUUAAUUACUAUGAUGAUGGUAUGUAAGUCGUGUGUGUGUGUUAGAGGUACCACAUAGUAAAAGGCUGACCUACAAACAACGUUCCUUUGGUUCCAUUCUAAUUGUCCUAAUUUCAGAUUAUCCACUUUACUGAUAGAUAACUUUCCUUUCCCCCCUCUCAUCUAUUAGAAGUUCCUUGUCCUUUGCUCAAAACUCACAAAUCACCAAAUACUUUACAAAUGCUUUUGAGUUGUAUAACACUAUUCUUCUGUCCAGACUCUUUCUUGCCUUAGUUAACACCCUCAACAACCCUGGUCUAAGAUUACAUGUUUAGCAAGGUUUCUCACUGUCACUAAGUAACAAUCUAGAAGGAGAAUCUUGAAAAUCCAUUUAAAUUUUAAAAAAUUUAGAUUUAUAUGUAUGAAUGCAUUUUGCACAUAUGUAUAUAUGUAUGUAUCAUAUGGCUACCUGGUACCUGAGGAGGCCAAAAGAGGCUGAUGGAUCCCCUGGAACUGGAGUUAUAGAUGCCAUGUGGGUUCUGGGAAUUGAAACCUGAUCCUCACCAAAGAUGCUAUUUGCUGAGCCAUCUCUUCAGCCAUUUUAAUUAUUUUUUAAUCCCAAUAAAAAUUUAACACACUGCUA
rnacentral:lncRNA from 1 species